rnacentral:rRNA from 1 species
GUGGGGAAUCUUCCGCAAUGGACGAAAGUCUGACGGAGCAACGCCGCGUGAACGAUGACGGCCUUCGGGUUGUAAAGUUCUGUUAUACGGGACGAAUGGUACGACGGCCAAUACCCGUCGUAAGUGACGGUACCGUAAGAGAAAGCCACGGCUAACUACGUGCCAGCAGCCGCGGUAAUACGUAGGUGGCAAGCGUUGUCCGGAAUUAUUGGGCGUAAAGGGCGCGCAGGCGGCGUCGUAAGUCGGUCUUAAAAGUGGGGGGCUUAACCCCGUGAGGGGACCGAAACUGCGAUGCUAGAGUAUCGGAGAGGAAAGCGGAAUUCCUAGUGUAGCGGUGAAAUGCGUAGAUAUUAGGAGGAACACCAGUGGCGAAAGCGGCUUUCUGGACGACAACUGACGCUGAGGCGCGAAAGCCAGGGGAGCAAACGGGAUUAGAUACCCCAGUAGUCC